AGAUUGAACGCUGGCGGCAGGCCUAACACAUGCAAGUCGAGCGGUAGAGAGGUGCUUGCACCUCUUGAGAGCGGCGGACGGGUGAGUAAUGCCUAGGAAUCUGCCUAGUGGUGGGGGAUAACGUUCGGAAACGGACGCUAAUACCGCAUACGUCCUACGGGAGAAAGCGGGGGACCUUCGGGCCUCGCGCCAUUAGAUGAGCCUAGGUCGGAUUAGCUAGUUGGUGAGGUAAUGGCUCACCAAGGCGACGAUCCGUAACUGGUCUGAGAGGAUGAUCAGUCACACUGGAACUGAGACGCGGUCCAGACUCCUACGGGAGCAGCAGUGGGGAAUAUUGGACAAUGGGACGAAAGCCUGAUCCAGCCAUGCCGCGUGUGUGAAGAAGGUCUUCGGAUUGUAAAGCUAACGUUUUAAAGGUUGGGGAAGGUAAA
rnacentral:rRNA from 1 species